rnacentral:rRNA from 1 species
GACGAACGCUGGCGGCGUGCUCAACACAUGCAAGUCGAACGGUGAAGCGCCUUCCUUUUUGGUGGGUGUGGAUGAGUGGCGAACGGGUGGGUAACACGUGAGUAACCUGCCCCCUUCUUCUGGAUAACCGCAUGAAAGUGUGGCUAAUACGGGAUAUUCUGGGUCUGUCGCAUGAUGGGUCUGGGAAAGAUAUUGUUUCGGUGGGGGAUGGGCUCGCGGCCUAUCAGCUUGUUGGUGGGGUGAUGGCCUACCAAGGCGGUGACGGGUAGCCGGCCUGAGAGGGUGGACGGUCACACUGGGACUGAGAGACGGCCAAGACUCCGACGGGAGGCAGCAGUGGGGAAUAUUGCACAAUGGGAGCAAGGCUGAUGCAGCGACGCCGCGUGAGGGAUGGAGGCCUUCGGGUUGUGAACCUCUUUCGCCAGUGAAGCAGGGCUGACUCGUUUGUGGGUGGGUUGACGGUAGCUGGAGAAGAAGCGCCGGCUAACUACGUG